UACGGGGGGGGCAAGCGUUGUUCGGAAUUACUGGGCGUAAAGGGCUUGUAGGUGGCCAACUAAGUCCGACGUGAAAUCCCUAGGCUUAACCUAGGAACUGCGUCGGAUACUGGAUGGCUUGAAUCCGGGAGAGGGAUGCGGAAUUCCAGGUGUAGCGGUGAGAUGCGUAGAUAUCUGGAGGAACACCGGUGGCGAAGGCGGCAUCCUGGACCGGUAUUGACACUGAAAAGCGAAAGCCAGGGGAGACAAACGGG
rnacentral:rRNA from 1 species